UUCCAACCCAAAUAAUUCUAUGACUCUGUGAAAUUUUGAGUAAGACAUAAGAUGCAGCUGUCCUUUUGCUAAUUCAUACUACUUGCUUUUUGGACAUUGCUGCUGAUCUCCUUACUGGUAUCAAACAAAGGAAACAAAUUAAUUGCCCCUUAAAAUGCUACUUACCUGGGAGUGUCUGACUUCCUAUUGGGUAAGACUUUUUUUUCUCACUCUUUAUUUAACACAUAACCAUUUGUAAUGCUGGACAGUCUUUCUGUAUCUUGUUUUCAGGUUCACCAUCUUGUGACUUCAGACAGAUUCAUUUUAAACUCUAUGUCAUCAGGUGGAACAAAGUGAUUCUCAUGUUUCAGUUGUCUAUGGUUUCUCUUCUCAUAAAAUCCCUGCGUUUAGUAUUUCAGUCAGCCACCAAGAAAGUGACAAAUAAUGGCUGACUAAUAUGAUUCAUCUUAGAGCCUACCUCACAUACCAAGUAGAAAUGAAUUUUAAUUUUGCAGGAGACAGACUUUCGUGUUAAGAGAAAAAUUGCCCAUGUUCAAGCAUUUUUCUGGAUAGUAAAAAAACAUAUAAAUUGAGAAAAAUAUAUAAAACAUUCAAAUAGUCGUGGCAGGGACCUGUUCUGUACCCAGUCUCUGUCCAUCACACUGUUGCUGUAUAUCAAAUGGUGCAGCAAUCCCUGCUUGUGGUACUGAAGCCGUCACUGCUUGCACGUCUGCUUGUGCACGGUGUUGAAAAUGGAUCUGUACAAACUUGGGCCCUGUACAGUGCAAGAUACCGUGUAUUUUUCAAUCUCUGUACACUUCGUGCAUCCUCUACUGUUCAUCAGACAUUAGCUGUAAACAAAAUACUCACUCUGAUGAACAUUUUGUUAAAAACAUGUAAGUACAGUAAUGACUUAGUGGGGCUGUUGUAGCAUUAGGCUCUCCAGAAGUCUAUGAUGCUGUCAGGACUGCAGAAGUUUUUCUCUGGAAAACUCAUCUGUUAGACCACUGCAGCUGCACUGCCUCAUGACACAAAGCAAGGUGGAUGUUCUAAGAAUUAGCAGAGUCUCCCACUUCUGUGUAAAUCAGUGGAUUUGUUGUGGUGCAAUUUGACAGAGCUAUGCUGGAGUCAGUGGAGACACACCAAAUUACAGCAGCCAAUGGUCUGAAAUUAUAGUAGUUGCACAGGUAAUUUCUCAGACUCUUGGUGCUUUGAUUAUACAAAGUCAGUGAGGUUAAAAUUUCAGCUUUUGAUACCACUUAAGUAGUAAGUUCUAGUGAUACUUUUGGAAUUACUUACGAUGGCAGACUUUGUUCACACAUAUCUUCCAAUAAAUGAAAGCUAUG
ensembl:lncRNA